rnacentral:tRNA from 1 species
GGGGUCGUGGUCCAGUUUGGUCUAAGAUCCGCGCCUGGGGCGUGCGAGGUCCGGGGUUCAAAUCCCCGCGACCCCACCA